GCAAAAUAUCACAUUUAACACAGGGAAACACCCAAUUGGCUGUAAUAACCCAACUGCUACCUUUUUUAUCCCUAAGCUGUGAAUGCGUUUAAGAUUUACAGACAUUUGCUUCACAAGGGAUUCCAUGAAGCCUGGGAGGUGAUAACGACAAGCGCAGAGAGACACUUGACAAGGAAGAUAAAUUAAAAAAGGGAAAAUUGAAUGAGAAAAGAGAUGUCAAUUGGUUGUGCUUGUGCGUGAGCUGAUGAAAGUUGUGUUCAUUAACAGAUAUAUGAUUUUACUAGAGAUUGGAUGGCUGAUAGUAGCACACAAAUGGUGGAAGUGGCACCUGAGAUGACAUAUAGAAUCCAUAAACUUCUCAGCUUCAAACUGUCUGUAUCAUCGGAGGUCACGUUGGAGCAUGAUGCCGGUGAGGUAAUCAACCACUUCUCUUCCAAUCUCUUCAGCUCUGCUUUUUUUGAGAGAUGUAAUAUAGCUUUUGACACGUCUCUGGCCACUGGCGAGCCUUUCUGGAACAUCUGCAUUAGAUUA